AAUCUCCACAAUGCACGAMAGUGUGUAUGRGGUUAUCCCGAGUGCCGUCCGAUGAGGAUGGCUUUUGCCUSGCUUUAAGAGASCCGUGGUGAAUAAGAGGGGGGCAAGACUGGUGUCAGCCGCCGCGGUAAUACCAGCCCCUCGAGUGGUAGGGRCGAUUAUUUGGCCUAAAGCGUUCUGUAGCCUGCCCAGCAAGUCYUUUGUGAAAUCCKSCGAUYCAAUCGUCGGGCGUGCAUARRAUACUGUUGGGCUUGGGGMCGGGAGAAGUCGAWGGUACUCYUGGKGUAGGGGUGAAAUCYUAUAAUCCCUAGAGGACCACCAGUGGCGAAGGCGUGUYGACYAGAACGUGCCUCGACGGCUAGAGGGACGAAAGCUAGGGGMGCGAACCGGAUUAGAUACCCGGGUAGUCCCAGCUGUAAACGAUAGCAUCGCUACGGUGUUUGGGUCCACGSUACGAGCUGUCCCCAGUGCCGCAGGAAGCUAUUAAGCCAUUCCGUCUGGAAGUACCGUCCCMAGGCUGAAACUUWA
rnacentral:rRNA from 1 species